rnacentral:lncRNA from 1 species
UUGUUUUCAUCCGUUGUUAACCCCUUUUGAACCUGUAACCCUUUGUUUGUGUAAACCAUCAUGUAACCCUUAGCCAUACACUUCCUACCCUAGCUCGGCAUGACUGUGUAAUGUAACACUUGUGCAAAAAGAUAAGUUUGGGGUAUUCAUCCGUAGACUAAAAAAAAUGUUGUUAAAAAAAUGGCAAGUGCAAGGAAAAUAGAGAUGAGAAAAAGAAAAAGUGUGUAUAAACAUCCGAUUCUACCGAAAAAAAAAGAGAAAAAGAAAUGAAAGAAAUAAGCACUUGCUUUAGAAAUAUACUCAUGCAUUAAUAUGAAUUUGAAUGGAAAAAGAGUCAAGAGUGGACGAUGCCCCAACAAAAUAAAGUUCUUGCACGAAGAGAAACAACAACAUGAAUGCCGAGCUGUAAAACCUUUAGUAAUCCAUUUU